AGGGAGGUCAACAAUUUCCACUCAAUACACCUGCUGGGAUAAGACCUAUGCCUGACCAGCACAGCACAGGUCUCUUCGUAAGUCCUGACUUACUUGUGUAACAUUGAAAUGUACUCUCUUUCUCAUAUGGGAGUGCACCAAGGUCAAGGACAGCAGAUGUAGAGACUGGCUGCCAAUGGCCAAAACCACAUCCAUAGCACAUCAGGAUUAAACUGUGAGGAAAAUGGGACAGAGGUGGGUAAGGAAACACAAAGCCUGGGAGUGGAGGUUCAGCAGGCUGAGAUCCCAUGGUAAUAUCUGCGGGACCAGCACGAGUGUGGGGAAGUGUGUGAGAGGAGUGGGGGACUGCAUGCAUUUGUUGGCCAGUGAUCAGCAGGCUGGCCUAUCCUAAAAAAAGGUUGAGAGCCACAUGCUGGCUCCUGGCAGGGGCCUGUGUUAACACUGAUGAGCUGUGUGACUAUGGGAGUGCUUGUCAAGCCAGUGGGUGAAGGUGUGUGCUUCCACUGGGGAACUACAAUCUUCAUUAGCCACAGAGCAGGAACAGCACUUGGCUCUGUGCUUAAGGAUUAUAAGAGAAAUGGUGGUGUUACCUGUGGGUGUUGCUAAUGGCAGCGUGCACCCUGCCUGUGGAGUCAGCAGAGUCAUUUCCGGCAGCUGUGACAUCUUAGGCUGCGAGGUGGUUUUCUGCCUCCUUCUUACUCAGCAAACAGAAGGGUCGGUCUCAGCAUGCACCGCAGCUAUCUCGUCCUCACUGCCUUCCUGGGACAACUGCUGGAUGCCAUGGGGCAGACCACAGUCACCCAGCAAGAAAGACAAGUCACAGUGGAGGAGGGAAACACCUUCCAGAUCUCCUGCACAUACCAAACCUCCAACUUUGAUGCCUUUCUUUGGUACCAGCAGAAGGAAGGCCAAGCCCCACAGCUGGUCACAUAUCAGCCAACAGCAGGCACCAAACAAAACGGCCGUUUCACCACGUGGCUGAACACCACCGCAAAAUACAGCCUCCUGCAGCUGGCAGAAGUCGAGCUCUCUGACAGCGCCUUGUACCUCUGUGCUGUGAAGGACACCCUGGUGCAGGGAGCUUCCUCAGCCGUGCAACAAUCCCGGGGAGGGAGGGGCUGAGUCUGUGCAAGGCGGAGCUCUGGGGAAGGGGCCCUCAGCUCUCCCCUGGCAGCGCUGCUUCCCCUGUGCGCACAGAGAUCUGCAGGUCAGCAUCCUCUUCCAGAAGGCACUGAUGUCUGUUUCUUGAGAGGAAUGAAAAGUGAUGAAAAAGGUCCUGACUUGGAACUCCCCUUCUGUAAUCUCCUGGACAAAACAGUUUUUCCAUGGGCUGUGCAGAGAACACAUGCUGCAUUGUGAUUUGUGUAUCUGGAGAUUGGGAUAUUUGCUCU